UCAUCCUCUUCCUCCAUGGAGUAGCCUCAUCUGGCCUCCAUAUGCAAAUAAUGCAUGUUACUACACUGCGGAGCUUAGCAUAGUCUUGGAUGUUUCCUUUUGUCUGCCUGAGAUAAGUCUUUCUUUGCUGGUUCCUCAAGCUGGUUGAGUGUCAAAAGAGUCUCUACUUUUGGCAGCCUUCAUAGAUACGAGUUGAAAUGACUCUCAGGACAAUUAGGUGAAGCUCACAUGUGUUGUUCAGACAAUCCGUGAUCUACCAAAUAACAGAUCAUUCAUUCUCAUGUUACUUGAUUGUCUUUUCUCAUCAGAGAGUUGGACUGUACUGUCUACUUCAAGACAUAUGGGAAACCGCACUGUGAGCAAAAAUAACAUUACUCUCCACUCUCUCCACAGGGGUCCGGGUAUCCAGGCACGCACCAGCUGAGACAGAUACAUUUUAACACACUGGAGAUGUACCUUUUUACCACCUUCGUACAAACAACCCUUUCGUUUUGCACAACAAUGAGCCGUGAAGGGAAACCAGUGGGGCUGCUAUCCGGUUGAAGUGUUAGCCAUUAGCCGAUUGCUAACAUCAGCAGGCUCACCGCAAUGUGUUGGUCAGGGGUUCACCAUGUCAACCAAGACGCUGAUGACACGGGUCCAGGAAGAGCAGUCCCACCAGAUGUCCCACAGCAUGGCGCCGGCCUCGCAGAUCCAGAAGAAAACCUUCACCUCCAGAUAAAGGCACCCUGGUACACACCCCCUGCUUCCUCAUCAUGACAUAGAUCAUGUUUAUCCAAUGCUUAUUAUAAAAAACAUUGAUAUAAUAAAUAAAGAAUUUCCAGAAGAGAUCUAGUUGAAUAUGGUGUUCUGUAUAUACAGUAUAUAUACAAAAGUAUGUUGAAAUUCAAAUUAGUGGAUUGACUAUUUCAGCCACACCCGUUGCUGACAGGUGUAUAAAAUCGAGCACACAGCCAUGCAAUCUCCAU
rnacentral:lncRNA from 13 species